rnacentral:rRNA from 1 species
GACGGAGGAUGCAAGCGUUGUCCGGAAUGAUUGGGCGUAAAGCGAUCGCAGGUGGCUGUUCAAGUCUGCUGUCAAAGACCGGGGCUUAACCCCAGAAAGGCAGUGGAAACUGAACGGCUGGAGUGCAGAUCGGGUAGAGGGAAUUCCCAGUGUAGCGGUAAAAUGCGUAGAGAUUGGGAAGAACACCGGUGGCGAAAGCGCUCUGCUGGACUGCAACUGACACUGAGGGACGAAAGCUAGGGGAGCGAAAGGG